rnacentral:rRNA from 1 species
AAGCGGAGGAGCAUGUGGUUUAAUUCGAUGAUACGCGAGGAACCUACCUGGGCUCGAACGUAAGAUGACUGUAGGUGAAAGCUUACAUCUCUUCGGAGCAUUUUACGAGGUGCUGCAUGGUUGUCGUCAGCUCGUGCCGUGAGGUGUCGGGUUAAGUCCCAUAACGAGCGCAACCCUACCUUUAGUUGCCAUCAGGUAAUGCUGGGGACUCUAAAGGAACUGCCUACGCAAGUAGUGAGGAAGGCGGGGAUGACGUCAAAUCAGCACGGCCCUUACGUCCAGGGCUACACACGUGCUACAAUGGCCGAUACAGAGGGCAGCUACCUGGUGACAGGAUGCAAAUCUCCAAAGUCGGUCUCAGUUCGGAUCGGAGUCUGCAACCCGACUCCGUGAAGUUGGAUUCGCUAGUAAUCGCGCAUCAGCCAUGGCGCGGUGAAUACGUUCCCGGGCCUU